rnacentral:rRNA from 1 species
GACGGAGGGUGCUAGCGUUGUUCGGAAUCACUGGGCGUAAAGGGCGCGUAGGCGGUUUGGUUAGUUAGGCGUGAAAUUCCUGGGCUCAACCUGGGGGCUGCGCUUAAUACAGCCAGACUAGAGUGUGAAAGAGGGUCGUGGAAUUCCCAGUGUAGAGGUGAAAUUCGUAGAUAUUCGCAAGAACACCAGUGGCGAAGGCGGCUCACUGGCCCGAUACUGACGCUGAGGCACGAAAGCGUGGGGAGCAAACAGG